CGGAUUGGAGUCUGCAACCCGACUCCAUGAAGCUGGAUUCGCUAGUAAUCGCGCAUCAGCCACGGCGCGGUGAAUACGUUCCCGGGCCUUGUACACACCGCCCGUCAAGCCCAUGGAAGCCGGGGGUGCCUGAGGUGCGCUGCCGCAAGGAGCGCCCUAGGGUAAAACCGGUGACUGGGGCUAAGUCGUAACAAGGUAAC
rnacentral:rRNA from 1 species